rnacentral:rRNA from 1 species
UACCCGCGGCCCGAGUGGUGCUCAUUAUUAUUGAGCCUAAAGCGUCCGUAGCUGGCCGGACAAAUCCCUGGGUAAAUCGGGCGGCUCAACCGUCCGAAUUCCAGGGACACUGUUCGGCUUGGGAUCGGGAGAGGGUGAUAGUACUCCUUGGGUAGGGGUAAAAUCCUGUAAUCCGAGGGGGACUACCAGUGGCGAAGGCGAUCACCUAGAACGAAUCCGACAGUGAGGGACGAAGCCCUAGGGCGCAAACGGG